UACGAAGGGGGCUAGCGUUGUUCGGAAUUACUGGGCGUAAAGCGCACGUAGGCGGACAUUUAAGUCAGGGGUGAAAUCCCAGAGCUCAACUCUGGAACUGCCUUUGAUACUGGGUGUCUUGAGUAUGGAAGAGGUGAGUGGAAUUCCGAGUGUAGAGGUGAAAUUCGUAGAUAUUCGGAAGAACACCAGUGGCGAAGGCGGCUCACUGGCCCGGUACUGACGCUGAGAUACGAAAGCGUGGGGAGCAAACAGG
rnacentral:rRNA from 1 species